AUGAACGCUGGCGGCGUGCCUAAUACAUGCAAGUCGAGCGAACAGAUAAGGAGCUUGCUCCUUUGACGUUAGCGGCGGACGGGUGAGUAACACGUGGGUAACCUACCUAUAAGACUGGGAUAACUUCGGGAAACCGGAGCUAAUACCGGAUAACAUUUGGAACCGCAUGGUUCUAAAGUGAAAGAUGGUUUUGCUAUCACUUAUAGAUGGACCCGCGCCGUAUUAGCUAGUUGGUAAGGUAACGGCUUACCAAGGCGACGAUACGUAGCCGACCUGAGAGGGUGAUCGGCCACACUGGAACUGAGACACGGUCCAGACUCCUACGGGAGGCAGCAGUAGGGAAUCUUCCGCAAUGGGCGAAAGCCUGACGGAGCAACGCCGCGUGAGUGAUGAAGGGUUUCGGCUUGUAAAACUCUGUUAUUAGGGAAGAACAAACGUGUAAGUAACUGUGCACGUCUUGACGGUACCUAAUCAGAAAGCCACGGCUAACUACGUG
rnacentral:rRNA from 1 species